UUUUUUUUUUAUGUUGCAUGGGUGUUCUCAGAUAUUUCAAUAAGAUGAAUUGCAAAGUUUUAGUUCUAGGAUAAAAAGGGGGAUUCGAGUUGGAUGUUGCAUGAAACAUCCUAAUUUGUUGCAGUGGAAAUUUAUUUUUAUCGUAUAUUUCUAGUUAUUGCAAAAGUUAUUUUUUAAAUAGUGCAGCCUCUGUUUCUUCAUGUUGUCACGGACCAUCCGACGGGACAUUUCCUAUCGGACGUAGCGUAGCAGUGCUGAUCUUUUAUUGAUGAUACGUAGCAUAUACAUGUAUAUAUGGACAACAUACCACAAACUCUACCACGUGUGUGAAUAUAUAUUUCAUUUUCAACAAUAAAUUAAGGAUUUGCUAUAUUUUUUCACUAGCCUAUGCUACUCUUUGUGCAUUCUAAUUUGCGGGACCAUUUGUGGGUCCGGUGAGCUUGAGUGGUUCUGCAUUGGCCAGGGAGGGCUUACCUAUGUCACCACAUUCUAAUGCGAAAAUUAAUGGUCGUCUCUUGAAUUAAACAUUGGAGCAUAGUGCAACUUAAAGUUUCAGUGAGAAAGUUAAAGGUCUCGUUGAAAUGUACAUAGAAGUUUAUCUCCAUACGCCACAUGAAAAAUUUAAGAAUUCCAAAAAAAGUUUAAACUCUAAUUAGAAACCUGAGAGUAUUAUUCAUGUCGGCUCUCAAUAAGAGUUGGCACUAGAUACCUUACAUAAUACAAGCUUGCUCUUGUUAAGAGCACUUACGUAUUAUUCAUGAGGAUCAUAACAAGAGCAACUACAAACAGUCCACAGGGUAUAGUACGGAUGGAUAAUACUUUAGGAAUUUAUACAUGCCUAUUUCUAUCUUACUAUUACUAAUUGGAGGCUCCUUUUGAAGCGUCCAGGUAAAGCCACCUAGGAUUCCUAGGUGUACACUCUAGGAAAAGAGAGAAAUCCUAAAAAUUCUCAAAAAAAGCAAAAUAUCCGACCAUCAAUCGAUAGAUUCAAAUCAUCAUAGACAUUGGAUCUAUUAUAUUUUCUAAAAAAUUACCCACCUAUACCAUUAUGAAAAUAGCGUAAAGUAACCCCCUAAAUCUAUAUAUAAAUUACCUACCUCUGCCAUUAUAUAAAAUAAACUAAAAUAACCCCCUAAUGUUCAUCAAAAUUACCCACUUAUGCCAUUAUAAACAAUAUUAAAAUAAUCCCCUAAUUUGCAACUGAAUUGCCUACCAUUAUUACUUAAAAAACUUAAAGUAACCCUUAAAUUUGCAUCUAUAUUACCCACACAUGCUAUUAUUAAAAAUAACAUGAGGUAACCCUAUGUUUGAAUCAAAUAACCUUAAUUAAAAAUAUACAGCAAUAAAUGAUUCUAAAUCAUCUAUAUCUUGCACUAUUGGUAUACGAUAUAAUAAUUAAGGUCUAUACGCAUGAUGUGUGUCACCAUUUAUAAGGAUAUAAAGUGAUGGGAAUAUAGAUUUCUAUGCUAAAAUUGUAUCUCAAACUUAGGGUUCAUUAAACAAAUUCAAGCACAUACCUGCGAUCCAAAGUGAAAAGUUAAAGAUUAUAAAUGUGGAUGAAAAUAUUAUAGAGUAAUUACUAAGUAAAAUAUAUCACAAUUGGAUGAAGAUAUUAAGUAUAUAUCUACAUAAGUAUUGUGUUCGAAUAUUUAACAAAUGAGAGGUAGCUUAUGGUAAUAGUUUUGUAGCAACAUAGUCUUAUUUUUUUCCAAUGGAGACUCCGCAUUAGUUCCCACAAGACAAGCUAGAAAAAAAAAGAGAAAUUCUCAUAAAAAUUAAAAACAUCAAACAUCAAUCCUGUAAACUCUAAUAAUCAUAGCCAUUGAUCUAUUAUAUUUUCUAAAGUUAACUGCCACUGUCAUUAUGAAAAUAUUCAAAAAUUAGCUCUAAACCUAUAUCUAAAUUACCGAGAUCAGCUAUUAUAAAAAAUAAUCUAAAGUAGCCUCAUAAUCUUCAUCCAAUUUACUAAUACACAUCAUUAUAAAGCAUAACUUAAAAUGUCAUUAUAAAAUUUUAUCUAUGUUACCCACGUAUGUCGAUAUUAAAAAUAACCUAAAGUAAAUACCUAAAUCUUAAUCUAAUUAUCUUCGUGUGCAUCAUACAGAAAUGUCAAAAAGUAAACUAAUAUAUGAUUCUAAAUUACCUAUUUAUGUCAUUGCUAAUAUAAAAAUACUAAGUAAAAGUAUAUACACAUGAUGAGUGCCACCAUUUAGACCAUUUUAUACAUGUAUGUGAGGAAUCAAUGAAAAAUAUUGAUUUGUAUGCUAAAUAUAAUGUAUGGAGGACUGGAGGUGUGAUACAAAAUGGAAAAAGUAUGAAUAUGGAUGAAAAAGUGCAUAGAGUAAUUAUUAAUUAAAAAUGAAUCACAAUUGGACAAAGGUAGGUAAAUAUCUAUAUAAUUAUUAUGUUGAAGUAUUGGAAAAAUAAGAGAGUAGUAGGUAAUAUUUUUUGAUUAUUAACUAAGAGUUUAAUUUCUAAAUAAUUUUCAUAUACAGUAACUUCUAAAAAUAUUAGCCCAUGCGGGAGCAUGGGUUGAUGGACUAGUUAUGAGUUAACGCAGAUGACUUAACUAUGCCAGCCCCAGUUUCAUGGGUACUGAUGACCCAACACGGAUGAAGAGUUUUCUAGUACUGCAAUUUAAUAGUAGCUUGAAUAUGUAACCUAGCCUAAGCUAGCAAUGUCACCCUCCCUAUUUAUAUUAUUGCAAGCAUAAUUGAUGGUAGCAACAAUAUAGUGUUUAGUAUCUUUCGUUGCGUACGGCAUCGAACAGCUGCAUGAUAAAGGAUUUGUAGAGAAAUUGACCUAUUCUCUUGCCUCGGAAGUCUUCAAAGAAAUUCAACUUUUACUAGUUCAAAGAACCUUUCGGUUCAUUACCGCGUAGUCUUAACGUGGAUCAUGAUGAUGUCCUGGACUCCUGGUUAACAGGAUAUCGCGUGCAGCCUUUAGGUGUUACAGAUGCCAAUUGAGAGGUCAAAAAAAUAUUGUACAUGUCAUUACUCAUUAGGCAAGAGCUUCUACUUAUUGGGGGAAACUAUGUUUGUACUCCCUUUGUUCUCAAUUGUCGGCCAUUUCAGUUUCAUCCUAAGUCAAAUUUGUCUAACUUUAACCAAAUUUUUAAAAAGUAUAUUAAUGCCUACUUAUGGUACUUUGAACUCGAGUGUUUCUCUGUCCUCUCACACCGAUUUUUCUGGCUUGAUAUGCCAUCCUAUAAAAUUCGAUUUGUGCUUUGUGCUGAGGUGGUUCUUCCCUAACUCAGACAGGUUUAUUAAGGGAGCCGUGAGUCUAUAGGUCACUUGUUGGCACGAGCCUUCCUGGCUUGCCCUGCAACAAGGAAGUAAAGAAACUGUUCUAUCUUUUUUUACCUGCACCGUGAUUGCGGUUAAUUUAAUUAACAAGCAUGAAGCAUCUAAUGAAACUCAUGCUAAUUUUUGUCUCGUAUAGUUGUUCUAUGCCUACCAUGGACAUUGGAUUCCUUGUGAUUGCCAGUAAGGUUCUAUAUUAGGCCUCAGUUUUUUUGGAGCACUUAUAUAUGUUCAUCAUUCUAUAUAGUUGUUUAAUUUGCCUGGUCCGACUACUUAUUAAUGUGAUUCACAUUUUUUAUGAUUGGAAUAUUUUAUUCGAUGGCGCCCUUUUCUUUAGCUGUACGCGUCGACGUGGCCACGUAGUUAAACAGAUAUUACUGAACUGGAUGUUGAAAUUAGAGUGUAAACAAUACUAUUUAUUUGUGCGCUGGUGAUGGUUGUCCUCAGAUCAGUUUGCCGCUGGGAUUAGAAUAACUAGCAUAGAUGUUAGUUGGAGCAGCAGCGGCAACAACAUAUGGUGAUGGGGGUGGUGCAAAGGAGAUUGAGAGACGGAGGAGGCAGCAGAUGAAGGCCCUCUGCGCAAGGCUCGCCUCUAGGUACGUGCAAGUAAUUAUCACAUGAAUACUAUUUUCUUUGAACUGUCAAAUGAAAUGCCUUUGAUUGAAGAUAUGUUUUUUUUUGCUUCUGUGUAUACGGGAUCAUAACUGUUUUAAGGCUCUAGAACUUCAAUAAUAAUCUAUCCAAGUUGGUUUUGCUGUUUCUUAGAAUGAGUAUAUCAACAUAAAUUUUUUUUGAUAAAAUAGAAUCUGAGCUUUUUUCUUGCACGGUAAGUUUAACACUGAAGUAAUUCCACAACAUGAGAGGAGAUUGUUGAUUUUUAUUUUCCCAGAUAACAAUUAUAUGGUUGUAUGUAUGCAGGUAAAGAUGAACCAAUUUGAUAUCCUUGAUGCCGUCGUGUCAUACAUCAAGGAGUUAAAGGAAAUGGUGGAACAACUUGAGCAACAACGCAGCUCCGCAGCAAAAGUAAUGGCUACAACCGGAGGAGCCGCAUUCGCGUCGGCAGCAACAAGCCAGGUGGUGUUGGGUCCGAAGAAGCUCCCACCGAGGAGAUGGCGGUGGCACCAGUAGUGCUGGCGCUGCUCCAGCCACAGGAUGGAUCGAUCCUAGACGUGGCGGUGAUCUGCAGCGUGCGGCAGUCGCUGAUACUGCACGAGGUGAUCACCGUGCUGGAGGAAGAAGGAGCCGAGAGGUUGUUUACCUGUUCAUGGGUGGAUUAUGACGGAUUUGGGUAGGUUAUAUGGGUUAAAUUGCAGCCACCGACUAAUUGGAAGAUUGUGUAAUCUGGGUGGGUUAGAUGGGUCAAGAGGGUGAUUGCUUAAUGGGUUGGCUGGGUGGAUUUGAUGGGUUAAAUGGGUAAAAAACAAGCAAGUCAGGGAACAAGGAACAUCUUGUGCAACCAUUCACUGAUUCAAACAUGCUAUCUUUGCCUCACAAAAUUAAACAAGCCGCAACAUCAAUGAUCCAUUUUGCAGUACAGCUCCAAUCAAACAGAAGAGUAUGAGAAAUUAAACAAGCAAUGCAAUAUCAAUGAUCCAUUUUGCAGUACAGCUCCAAUCAAACAGAAGAGGAAGAGAAAUUAAACAAGCAAUGCAACAUCAAUGAUCCAUUCUACUAUGGUAGCUGAUAGUGAUGUCCAAAAUGAAUCUAGAAUUCUUCCUCCUAUACUUAAUAUAGAUUCUGAAGCUACUGUGGAAACAGGAACUUCUAAAAUGUCUUUUGCCAACUUAGACAGUAUGGGGUACUUGCUUGAGUUACAUCUCCACCACAAAUAGUAAAUAAAAUUCAUCCAUGAUCUUUUCACAAUUCUCUGCAAGAUAUCUGGAUAAUUCAGAAUUACUUUCUUUGCUCUCAAUUUCUUCUAGGUGCAUACUAAAUUGAAAUGCUCGCAACAUAGCAGUAUUCUCCUCAUGCUCAUCGACAUUAAUAAGUAGUGGAGGUUGAUUGUAAUUACUACUGAAGCUGGCAUGUGCAGCAGACUCAACAUAGCAAUCAAAUAAGCAGCGAAGAUCACUUUCUAUUUUACCAACAAGUUAUUUUUUCUUCCGUGGACCGUAUAUCCCCAAGAAGAAAAAGCUAAGAAACUUCACCUUGUAACGAGGAUCCAAGAUUAGAGCGAUAAAUAGUAAGUUGUUCAGAUCCUCUUUAUCCUCCCAAUAUUUACUGAACUUCUUCUUCAUUAGUUCAGACAUUGUGGCUAUAAUGGGAUCACUAUGUCCAGCAAGUUCUUUCAGCUUUGAUUGCAUCAGAACAAACUCAAGAAAGAAACCACUUGAUGUCACACGAAGAGAACCAGAUAGAUGCACUGUAACUUUAUGGAAUAUCUUCAAAAAUGAAUAACACGCUUAGCAUUACACCAAUCAGAUGCAGAUCGAGGAACAUAGUCCUUAAAGUAUGUUUUGAAUUGUGUUUAACCUUGCAAGUGCCUUCUCAAAUAUAACUGCUUUAUCAUGUCGUGUGAGAGGAAAUUGUAGAAAUUUAGUUUGAAGUAGAACUAAAGAUCAAAAAGAGGUAUGCAACUGCAAAACAAUGCUCCGGAGCAAUAAUUCCUAUGUGGUGAAAAUACAAGCAUACAACCUAGAUAUUUUUCAGACAUCUAGUGACUAAAAAUAUCACAUCAUUGAAUUGUGAAUCUCACCAAAUACUAAACAAUAUUAGUCGGGCUCUGAGAAUCGACUCCCACAGGUUACCAUAUUGGGGCUGAUCACAAAUUGAACUUAAUAAACAAAUUAGUCAAUAACUAGAUCGAUCAGUACUAAGGCUAUAUUCCAAUCAGUUCCAUGGCCAGUUAUCAAAGGCAGUAAACAAUCUUAAAUCUCUCUUCUUCCUAUCGCUUGCAAACGAUAGACUCGCAAAUAUAACAAAUGCACUUCACAUACUAAGGACCUCAAAUAACCUCAUCAGUUAUCACCCUCGCAUAGCAGAUCUCAUGGACAUCAAAAUAAAAAGGGGAAAAGGAUUUGGGAGUGUGAGCAGUGGGACUGUUGGAGCCUCAACCUUAGUGAUGUUUUUUUUUGUAUCUAUAGCACUAAAAUCUCUAACCUUAACCUCUCACCAGGAGCAAGCAAGCAACAUCCAAUCCAUUCAUCCGUGCAGAGAAAAAGGGAACCGCAAGGAAUUGGGACAAGAGGAGUAUGGGGAUCAAAUGAACUAACCUUCAUAGUCACGCAGAGGGGAUUGGGUCGCCGCCGGCAGGGGAUGACGAGCGGAGCUUGGCGGUGGCCACUACACCAACGCUGCGACCAUUGCCGAUUUCGCAGGUGGUCUGGCAGUGGCGACGGGGCGACUCCUUCAAAUACCGUACAUGGAUUAGAUGGGUCAGCUGGGUUGGGUCAUGUACCUACCCAACAAGGCAUACCAAUAGAUGGGUGGGCCUGAAAUCCAACUCAACCCAUGGAUGUAGUUUUUUUCCGAUUGGGUUGGGUCUACACGGAUGGAUUGGGUGGGUCGCUUGACCCAUGCACAGGCCUAGUUAACGCCAUCUUCGUCGACAGCCGGCAAAUAUUUUGCAGCGUUCACUCCCGAGUAAGUAUUGCUUACAUUACAUAUGUAUAGCACAGUUGAUGCAACCACCAGCAGUGGUCGGAUGUAAUGAUUAAUUGUCAACAAUUGCAGGCCUUCAGCUCGAGAAUUGGCAUAGACGUUUCAAGAGUUACUAAAAGACUCAGGGCAUUGAUAUGAUGUAUCACUGAAUGCAGGUGCGGAUCAUACAUUAUUAUGUUGCAAUUGUUACGUAACAUGCAUGUUCGUUUCGUGAUAAGAUCGAUGUACAAAAGAAAUUGAACGUUGCUAAUUGUUAUCGACCCACCAUCCUUGGGAUAUAAAGCAAUUAUUCCACAGACUGACAGACAGUGUUUAACAUUUGCAGCUAACGUGAGAUCACCAAUUAACAUCGAUCGCAGGCACGCGUUGUUGCGACAGAAUCUAGCUAUAUACAGAUUUCGUGGGGCGUAGUAUGUCAACAACAGUGACCACCACUAUAGAAACGUACGUUGCUUGGUUAGGGCACGUUAGUGAUAGCACAGAAAUGACUAAUUACGACAUGAACCUCCAUUGGUUAAGCGGCAGGAAAUUAAAGUAAUUAAGGACAUAAACUGAUCGAGGAGAGACGGUACGCCGUGCAUGGGGGAUCGAAUAGAAAAUGCGAGAUGGCGCUGCAAGGAGUAGGAUGGAAGCUAGGGUUAGGGAACGAGUCGAUCCGCUGCACGUCUCGGCGAGAUGACCGGGAGAGCUUUGAUUAGUAGGGGGCGGAGUGUUUUCCCUCACGUGGAAGCCCAGUUUAUUUUGCGCUGUUGUAUAUUAGGGCUUAAUCUUUCUUGCAGAAGCCCAGUUUAUUUUGCUGCAUUACAUUUCCACUUUUCUUCCUGCAUGGCCCGUACGUCAGCUAGCUAAAAUAUUUUGGGCCUAAUAUCUCGCGUCCAACCUUCAGAACGAUAUACUAGUAUACUACUGGGGUGCCCAGUUGAUGAUGGGAUGAUGUGUCCUAUAAAACCCUUUACGAAUAAACAGACCUUGAUGAAUAGGCAAAUUUCUAGAAUGAACAUUUGCACAUUUACAGAUGUUCCUUCAUAGAUACAAAUAUGCCAUGUUGUUUUCAAAUUGUAGAGAAGAGGGUAUUUAAAAUCGAUAAUUUGAAAUCAUCUGAUCUACCAACCAUUACACUAGAACAUUAAUUUUUGGGAUUAAGAAGUUAAUUGCAGGAACCACAUAUAUUCUCACAAGACUAACGGAAAAUCAACAAACAAGAGUGUCACUACUCCAUAAACCAUUUGGGCUAGCACAGGCAAAUUAGCAUGCUGGCGGGCGUGAUUGGCACCCGCCAGCACAAGGCUUCCUUGGGCCGAGCACUUGCUAGCACAGUGGCCACUGUGCUGGCGGGCGACGCAAGCACCCGCUAGCACAGGGCAGUGGGCUUAUGUUGCCCGCCAGCUUAGAGGCCACUGUGCUUGCAGUCUACCUAAGCCCACCGCUAGCACAGAUGGGGUGAUCUGUGUUGGUGGUUGGCUUAUGUCGCCUGCCAGCACAGAGCCCACCAUAAAUGCUCCUGUUCAUCUUCUUACCUAGGCAACCUUCCAUUUGGAGCUUGCCUAAGAGGAGCUUGGGAAAAGCUCCAAAAAUACCAAAUCUAAGGGGGAAGGCUUUGCUCUUGAUUUCUUUGAAGGAGGUGGCUAUAUAAGGUGAGUUUGUGCCAUUCCAAUCUUCUUUUUUAACUUUUAUCCAUCAUUUCUAUCUUCAUUAGCUUGUCAUCUAGAUCUAGAUCUAGAACUAGGAGAUAGAGGAGGAAAGGGAGAAAAAAAAACUAGAAAUGAAUUAUUUUUGUGGAAAAAAUUCUAUGGUCAUAUUAUAAACAUUAUUGUCAUUUUAAUGUAAUAUAGAAUUGAGUUUGAUUAUAUCUUUCCUUCUUAUUAACUAUUACAUCCAUAGUUUUAAUUAAUGAAGUUGAUUAUCUUAAUAUAUAAUUGAGUUUGAUUUUUUCCCUUCUUAUUAAUUAUUACCUCCAUGUUUCAAUUUAUUCUCAUUUAGGGUAAUAUAGAAUUGUUUCUUAUUAUAUUUUUCCUGCUUAUUAAUUAUUACAGCCAUAGUCUCAAUCAAGGAAGUUGAUUGAAUUAAUAUAUAAUUGAGUUUGAUUUUUUUCAUUCUUCUUAUUAAUUAUUAGAUCCUAGGUUUAACUGCUUGGGAAAGGCUCUAAAAACACCAAAUCUAAGGGGAAAAUUUUGCUCUUGAUUUCUUUGGAAGAGGUGGCUAGGUGAGUUUGUGCCAUUCCAACAUUCUUUUUCAACUUCUAUCCAUCAUUUCUAGAUUCAUUAGCUUUGGGGUAAUAUAGAAUUGUUUAAUUGAGUUUCAUUUUGGAUAAUAUAGAAUUGUUUCUUAUUAAAUUUCUUCCUACUUAUUAGUUAAUAUAUCCAUAAUUUAAUUUAGUUUAUAGAAUAGCUUAUUGAAUUAGUUAAUAUAACAUAGAAAUGUUGUUAUAGGUUGUUAAAGAUGGAUCAUAGAGCAUGGAUGUAUAGCAUACAGAGACAUUCGCUUACUUUCAUGUUAGAGUUAUCGAAGUUCAUGAAGGCUGCGAAGAAGCACGCUCCCAUGGAAACUGAAUAAGCUGCAUAGAUGGAUCAUGACCGCAAUGAAGCAAAGCAUUCGAGCAAUCAUCACACGUGUCCCAAAAAAUGUUUUCCUUGGCAUUCUCAAUUACAAGAUUGUGAUCGAUUUCGAGGAUUUGCACAGACUUUACCGUCAUCAACGCCUUGACGUUCAGCUCAUUAUCGUAUAGUGCUUGUAAGUCCACAUGUUCAGCAUACACGAGUUUACAUACAUACGUAUAUAUUUUAUAUGUCAAGUACCUAAGCGACUACCUAUUCUGCAGGAUGCAGUGAAAAGAGGAAGAAUUGACCUCCUGCAGUGAAAAGAGGAAGAAUUGACGAACAGCUCUCGGUAGCGUACCUUGACCCAGCACGAAUUAGCAAGCCAGAGCACAAGUUCAAAUUGAUGGAGACGGUCAAAGCACAAAUGGAAGCAGCACAGACACAAGUGGAGAAAAAUGCUAUAAAAGAAAAGACCCACAGAGAUGAAAUGCACACAGUGUCUAUGUAAAUUGCAAGAGUAGGCUCACAAGACUCAUAUCAUGGCGGUUUACAAUUUUUGGUAAGCUAGUUAGUUUAAAUUACUAUUUCUAUACUUGGUGCUAUUUAAUACCGUAUAUAAUAUAAAUUAUUCUAAUAUAAUGCAGAGAUCACUGGAUUUGCACCAUUAUUUACCCCAAGCAUGGAGAAGUAGUGGUCCUCGACUCAGCCAGAUUUAGCAAAGAUAGUUACAAGGAACUCAUAGGCAUUUUACAAAAGUAAGACAUUCCUUGGUAGUACUUAAAUGCAUGUUGAGAUUCUAUGCACCUAAUUUGUGUUACCAACUCUUGUCUUUAUAUCCUCUAAGUGUGCACAAGCUUUAUGUAAUGAAAGGCGGGGAAUGCCCUAGGAAGAAAGCUAUGAAAAUAAUAUGUCAUAGAUUCGUAAGAACAUAAAACUUGGUUUAUUUUCAUAUAAUGUAGACUUGUCAUUAAUAACAACUCAUCAUUUUUCUAUUUGAUUGCAGUGCCACAUGCAACCUCCUGGUACUGCGCUAUGCGGAUAUUACGUGUGCAAGUUCCUCAGAAAUAAUGGGAGGUACCGGACGAACCCCGAAGAUGUAAGUCUCUAAUACACUGCCUUGUGCUAAAUUCUUAAUGGUAAUACAUCCUAAUCUUCAUUUACUAUAUACCUGCAAAUGCCUAGGAUCCCAAAUCACCAUUAGUCGCUCCUAGAAGGUCAAAUCAACAAUAUUUGUAGGGCCAUGGCAAGGUUCAUCUAACGCGAGAUUUGUCAUGAGGAUGGAGAUUUUUUUGAUUGAGAUGGUGUGUUGAUGGCGGACGAAUGCACACGUCUUUGUAGAUGAACGAAGUAGUUUUAAUAUUAGCCUCGCAAAUAAUUGCUCUAUUCCAAAUGUUGAAUUAUGUGAAUUAUUUAUUAUUCAAGUUUGUUGAAUAAUGUGAAUUCUCUAUUUUGUACGAUGAAGUUUUUAAUAAUGUGAAUUAUUUAUUAUUUAAGUUUGUUGUUACAUGGUUGGAGAUACAUAUUUAAAUUUGUGGCUAAAAACUGGUGAGAAAUAGAAAUUAUAAAUAAAUCACUUAGCGGCUAAAAACUGGUGGGAAAUAGAAAUUAUAAACAAAUCACGGAAAAUAAUAUAUAGGGUGGGAAAAUACAUAUUUCUAGCGGGUAGUAUAACCACCCGCCAGCAUUGAAAGUCUUUUUGCUGGAGGGUGGCUAACGUCGUCCGCUAUCACAGACCACUAUUUGUGCUGGUUUAAGAUUGCUGGUGGGUGCUUGGCCUACCAGUACAGUGCCCUUUUAGCCGUUAGCACAAAUUUUUUGUGGCCUAGUGUUGUAAUAUUCUUUAUUUGACGUCGAGGGCAGCUCCAGCGUGAGGGAAAAACUGAAUCGCGGAUCAAGAAAACUGAACAGAGCACGCAGUGGCACUCGACGUUUGCGUGUUGGAGUAAAAACCACAUGCUGCGGAACCAAGAAGAAUAAAAAAUCAAGCGGGCGCACAGAAUGGAGACUAGCUAGGGCUGGCUCACGGGUGGGCGCAGGGGCUGACGUGUGGGCAGAGAAGUGAGGCUGUUUUUUGAGUGGAGGACUGGAGGGUCCCCAAAACCGAAGCGCAUGCUCUUGACAGCGAACACUCUGAUAGGUUACAGAUUUUGCUCAGCAAAAAUGCUGAGUCACUGGAGGUGCCCUCAUAUUAAGGGAAACCACAUUUUGGAAAGCAAGCAGAAACCCCGGGCUUCCCAUAUGAUGGUCCUACGUUGCAUAUCUCUAAACCAGGAAUGACGUGAAUGCUAUUCAUUAUCUUUACAAGCUGCUUAAGCUAGUACAACACUGAGAUUUGCUCUCUUAUACUUGUUAUGUGCUCUCCAAAAGUGUAGUUUAAAUAAAAUUUUCACCAGGAAAAUCAUGAAAUUUCUAACAGAAGAAUACUACUUACAAGUUCAAAUAAAAAGAGAUACACAUACACAAUACUGCUAGUUACGAUUAUUCAUAAGGCUUAUUUAGCAAAAUAAUUUGUACAAAAGACAAAAUAGGGUUUAGUUUAGCAAAUACAUAGGAGAGUAUAUAUAAGCUGUUUGAAGUAAAAGGCAAUAUUUGCCACCCGCUUGCCGGUGUUUUACUGCAAUAUAUCACUUUGAAUGAUAAGCAUCGGCUAUCACUUUCCU
rnacentral:lncRNA from 1 species